rnacentral:lncRNA from 1 species
UCUUUUAUGAAGACUAGUGCAAGAAGGAUGUCCAUUAAUGAAGACAUACCUUGCUUUACUAACAGAUAAAGAAAGAAAAACUCUACCAAAUGUUAUAUGAUUAAGACCAAUGUGAAAAUAUCGAGAAAAAACAUGGUCUUGUAGGGCUAGGUUUAAACCAGAAUUUAUAGAAAGAUUAACAGAUUCCCUAGGUGUAGCUAAAAGUUCAUUAUCUCCUUGAUUAAAAGAUAGGACCUCAGCUAUAGAAAAGGGUUGGUUUUGACCUAUUGCAAUCAACUCCGGACACAGAUCAUAAUUAGGGGCAAAGAAAGGACUUGUUGACUCCCAUGGUCUAUGGCUGGUCUCCGAAGGUGCAAAAAAUUCAAUAAUAGGUGUGGAAUUUGAGUUAUCCACAA